CCUACGGGAGGCAGCAGUGGGGAAUAUUGGACAAUGGGGGGAACCCUGAUCCAGCCAUGCCGCGUGUGUGAAGAAGGCCCUCGGGUUGUAAAGCACUUUCAGUGAGGAAGAACGCCUGGUGGUUAAUACCCAUCAGGAAAGACAUCACUCACAGAAGAAGCACCGGCUAACUCCGUGCCAGCAGCCGCGGUAAUACGGAGGGUGCGAGCGUUAAUCGGAAUUACUGGGCGUAAAGCGCGCGUAGGUGGCUUGAUAAGCCGGUUGUGAAAGCCCCGGGCUCAACCUGGGAACGGCAUCCGGAACUGUCAAGCUAGAGUGCAGGAGAGGAAGGUGGAAUUCCCGGUGUAGCGGUGAAAUGCGUAGAGAUCGGGAGGAAUACCAGUGGCGAAGGCGGCCUUCUGGACUGACACUGACACUGAGGUGCGAAAGCGUGGGUAGCAAACAGGAUUAGAUACCCCGGUAGUC
rnacentral:rRNA from 1 species